UGGGGAAUUUUGGACAAUGGGGGCAACCCUGAUCCAGCAAUGCCGCGUGUGUGAAGAAGGCCUUCGGGUUGUAAAGCACUUUUGUCCGGAAAGAAAACUUCGGGGCUAAUACCCCUGGAGGAUGACGGUACCGGAAGAAUAAGCACCGGCUAACUACGUGCCAGCAGCCGCGGUAAUACGUAGGGUGCGAGCGUUAAUCGGAAUUACUGGGCGUAAAGCGUGCGCAGGCGGUGCUGUAAGACCGAUGUGAAAUCCCCGGGCUUAACCUGGGAACUGCAUUGGUGACUGCAGCGGUGGAGUAUGGCGGAGGGGGGUGGAAUUCAACGUGUAGCAGUGAAAUGCGUAGAGAUGUGGAGGAACACCGAUGGCGAAGGCAGCCCCCUGGGCCAAUACUGACGCUCAUGCACGAAAGCGUGGGGAGCAAACAGG
rnacentral:rRNA from 1 species